AAGAAAAAAACCGAAAACAAAGAGGGAUGCAACACGAAGACUUUCCUGGAGGUCACCCAUCCUAGUACUACUCUCGCCCAAGUACACUUAACUGCGGUGUUCUGAUAGGAUCAAGUGCAUUAGUGCUGGUAUGAUCGCAUCAGUUACUACAUGCAAUGCAAUCAUAUAUAUUCUUUUUUGAAGACUUUAUGAUCCAUUUGCCGUAGGUCCCACCAGCUAUGUAGGAAUACCCUAUCUUGUUUAUAAGAGCUUUGAUACAUGCAAAAUAUUCGAAAACAAUGUCCGAACAUAUAAUUUUUGUCCCGUAAUAUAGCAAAGAUCACGAAAAGGCCAGAAAAAAUACAUUUCGGUCAAAAUUUGGAGUAGAAAAAAAGCCCUUCCUCAUUCAUUGGACAGCUCUCUUUGGGCUUUCCGAAAAGGUAUCACAUGCCAAGUUUGGCCUCACGGUCUAAACCUUAUAGACUCAUACAUUUUUCACAAAAAAAAGAAGAGAAAAACCAAAAAAAAGAGUGAUUAAACACGAGGAUUUUCCUGGAGGUCACCCAUCCUAGUACUACUCUCGCCCAAGCACGCUUAACUGCGAA
rnacentral:sRNA from 1 species